rnacentral:rRNA from 1 species
CAUCGACAUUUCUAACGCACAUUGCGGUCCUCGGAUACUGUUCCUGGACCACGCCUGGCUGAGGGUCGUA